CUAUGCAUUGCUGUGUGUCUGCCACUGCCGCCUGGCACUCAUGGGGCCGUGUGUGUGUAUGUGUGUGUGUAUGCGCAUGUACAUGUACGCAUAAGCGCGUGCUGUAUGUGAGCCUCCUGGGCAUGGGUGGGGGUUGGCACUGCGGUUGCCAAUCUAGUGUCCAACCAGAAGGACAGAGGGAUGGAGGGGAAGAAGGAGGGGAGAGGUGCGGGGCCCGGGAGGGCAGAACUGGGUGCAUGGGUUGCUUCGUGCUGCCUGCUUUCAGGCAUUGGCACUGCAGCUGCCACCCUCAUGCCCGCGGAGAUGGGAGGAGGCGAAUGGGGAGGGGGGCGGCGGUAGGAGUCCUGGUGCUCUGAGAGGAAGGAUUGCUACCUGGGAGCCAUUGGCAUCACACCCAUCAUGCUGGUGCCCCGAGCUGGGGCAGUGGGAACAGGGGCCCCAGGAGGCAGAGAGGAGGGGCAGGGGGAUGUUAAUGAUCUUGCUGUCCCUCUGGAGCUCAGCUCUGAGAAACAGUUGGACUAGGAGGUAGUCAGCCUUCUUCCAGUCUGGGAAAGUAAAGUGGGGGAAAGAGUAGCCAGGGAAGUGCCAAGAAAGUGUCUAAGAGCUAGAAGGAGGGACCAUGCCACUGCUCCCUGGGGAGAGCUCCUCGGGGCUGGCAGUCUGGCCCUUUGUGAAAAGCAAGGGGACACGGACACGCGGCCGUGGGUGCUGGCACUGCCUGAGGAGGCUGGCACAGGCUCUAGCAUUGUGUGGAAGGAAGAAGGGGGGCAGCGCCUCUUGCCAAUCUGCUUGAGAGGAUGGCAGUGCCAGGAGUGAGAAGGGAGGUGAGAUGUUGGGCUGUAUGUGUGUGUGUGUUUAUGAGUUGUUUGGAAGAACAGACUUUUUUCUGCCAGGACCUCCUUCCUGUUCCCUCUUAGGCAUGGGGAGUGGAGCAACAGACGGAGAGAGGCGUGAGGACACAAAGGAGGACGUGCGCCAUUGCCAAGACCCCAAGGAAGAAGGAUGGAGAGCGCUGGCAGUCCUGUUUGGCCCCCGGCCAGUUUCCUGCUGAAGAUGGCCAAAUCCUCCGGCCUGGUCUGUGGGAAGAACAUGGGCUUUGGAUUCAUGCAGACCCAGGUUCAGUGCUGAUUCCCUCACUCAUCAGCUGUGCCACCUUGCCAGAAGAAGCUGGAGAUGGAAGAAGGCAUUCUGGCCCAAGCAUGCCAGAGGUCCAGAACUUGGAAAGGGCUGGACAGGAAAGAAGACAGCUGCCAUGGGGGCAAGAGGCCCAUGAGUCAGAAGCAGCAGCAGAAUCUAGACUCAGACAUCCCAGACCCGAAAAACCACCUCGGAGACCAGAGAAAAAGGAGGAUAAAUGGCCUUGGCUUGGGCUUGAGACUGAGGUGGGGGGGGGGGGUGAUCAUGGAGAAAACAAGGAUGGAAAGAUAUGAGGAUGGAAAUGGCGUGUAUCCCCAUCAGUUCCUCAGGGAAACCCAGUCUAACACUCCGGUCCCACCCUCUGCCUUCCUUCACUGAGAAGCCAAAUGACUAACAAUUGACUCUUAACCUUUCCUCGGAUCGAGCCCCAAAGGGAGAGGCUGAGGGUAGCUGGCUGUGACUAGAGGAGGCACUAGGGAAAUGUCCACACUGAAGUAAAAAUUUCUGGCCCACACCCAUCCUGCCCCACUGACUGCAUGUCAGUCAGCACGCUACACUGAACGCGAGCCUGCAUGCAUUUACCUUCUCUCAGAAAAGAGCUCUAGAUACUAUGUCCUCCUAAUUGCACAGGCCGCCGUGUGGGUGGAUGGCCCUGCGGUGACUCCAAGACUGGAAGCUUCGCUUUCAUGUAAUCCCCUAUUCCUGCCCAAACACAGAGAGGCAGCACCUGUUCUCUCACUUGACUUGGAAAGAAAAAUUUUGAGGGAUACCCAGCUAUCUCAGCAGGAAUUAGGAAAAAAAAAAAAAAAAGGUCUCUCCAUUGUUAAUUGUCUGCUUUCAGCUCAGGGUCCUGGG